GAUGAAGAACGCAGCGAAAUGCGAUAAUUAAUGUGAAUUGCAGAAUUCAGUGAAUCAUCGAGUCUUUGAACGCACAUUGCGCCCCCUGGUAUUCCGGGGGGCAUGCCUGUCCGAGCGUCAUUGCUGCCCUCAAGCCCGGCUUGUGUGUUGGGCCUUGCUCCCCCGGGGGCAGGCCCGAAAGGCAGUGGCGGCACCGCGUCCGAUCCUCGAGCGUAUGGGGCUUUGUCACCCGCUCUGUAGGCCCGGCCGGCGCUUGCCGACCCCAAUCAAUCUUUUUUCAGGUUGACCUCGGAUCAGGUAGGGAUACCCGCUGAACUUAAGCAUACAAUAAGCGGAGGA
rnacentral:misc_RNA from 1 species